GGGGGGGGCGCUACCAUGCAAGUCGAACGGUAACAGGAAGAAGCUUGCUGCUUUGCUGACGAGUGGCGGACGGGUGAGUAAUGUCUGGGAAACUGCCUGAUGGAGGGGGAUAACUACUGGAAACGGUAGCUAAUACCGCAUAACGUCGCAAGACCAAAGAGGGGGACCUUCGGGCCUCUUGCCAUCGGAUGUGCCCAGAUGGGAUUAGCUAGUAGGUGGGGUAACGGCUCACCUAGGCGACGAUCCCUAGCUGGUCUGAGAGGAUGACCAGCCACACUGGAACUGAGACACGGUCCAGACUCCUACGGGAGGCAGCAGUGGGGAAUAUUGCACAAUGGGCGCAAGCCUGAUGCAGCCAUGCCGCGUGUAUGAAGAAGGCCUUCGGGUUGUAAAGUACUUUCAGCGGGGAGGAAGGGAGUAAAGUUAAUACCUUUGCUCAUUGACGUUACCCGCAGAAGAAGCACCGGCUAACUCCGUGCCAGCAGCCGCGGUAAUACGGAGGGUGCAAGCGUUAAUCGGAAUUACUGGGCGUAAAGCGCACGCAGGCGGUUUGUUAAGUCAGAUGUGAAAUCCCCGGGCUCAACCUGGGAACUGCAUCUG
rnacentral:rRNA from 1 species